CUGAAGCUUUAUCCACCACGCCACCUAGAUGAUGAGACAAGAGAAUAGAAUCCCGUCUCUCACAUUUAAUAAGUCAUAUGACCCUGCUUUAAAUCUUAGAUCCUAUGGCAACCUCAUGCUCUGCUUCCCUGGGCCUGCAAGAAGAUGCUUCCUGUCUGCCUCCCAUUCUCUCCAUCCUAUUUCACUGAGAGCUAAGCAGAUCAUUUGCGUGAACGCCUGAUGAUGGGGCUACUUGACUGGAACUGAGGAUACAAAUACAAAAAGUGGGACAAUCUUUGAACUCAAGAGCCAAGUAUUUUGCUUAGGAAGAAGCUAAGAUUCCGAGAUGAAGACUUCCUGGAGUUCACAGUUAAUUGGGGGCAGGUUUGGGACCAGAACUCUAAUCAAGUGAAUUUGUUGCUGUAUGUACUCCAAAUUCAAUUCCUUCAAUCAAGCAAAUGAGCAAGGUAAUAAUUUGUACUCUAAUAAUAUUAAUAACAUAAUCAUUAUACUAUGAUAAAAUUAUA